GGCCGUCCCCGGAGCCCCGGGGUGGGCCGAGCGGUGGGCCUAACUCCGGGCAGGCGCGGAGCGGUGCUGCUGCACCCCGAGACCGGCCCUCCCUUCCGUGUUUUCUUGCUUCCUUGCACGGCUGGCCUGCCCGGCCCAAUCCCGCGAGCUCCGGUGGGGCCCGUGCGUUGUGCGGAUCCGGGGCUGGGGACCUGGUGGUUCAAAAACAAAGGACAGGCCUCAGGGUGCGGCCGAGCGGAGACGUGCCCCGCCCCGCCCCGCCGAGCCGCGGUGGAGGAGAAGGGUACAAAGGGAAUCCCGCGGGCGCGGGGACCAAGGAGGAAGGGGUGGCCCCGGAGUUUGCCCGAGCGUCAGGGUUUAUGAAAACCCUUUCCCCGGCAGCAUUUCAUGCUGCCCACUUUUCUGAAGUUCAGUCCUGGUCUUUCUGCCAUGGAGUAAGCAGUACACAUUUAAGCGUAUCUGCGAGAGGAAGUGUGAUGCCGUCAGGCGGGCGGAAGGGGCAGCUGAACAGGUUUCUCUCACUUCUCAACUCUGUCCUCUCUGGAGAGAUGUCUUCGCCUUCUUAUUUCAUCCUCACAGGAAGCCUGCAAGGGUUGGUAUAAAGACAGAGGAGAAAUUUCACGGAGGCAUCUCGUGCUGAGUCACAGGAAGGUCCCUGCUGGAGCCGCCUUGGAAUGAGGGAGAGUGUUGGGGUCACGGACAGGAGAUGGAGAGAUCAGCCGGGCUUUCUGCCUUUCGCACCACAGGGAAGGGAUGACCCCAUAGAAUGCAAACUGUCGGCGCUCAGCUUUCAAAUUCCAACAGUCUGGGUGCUGGGGGAUUCAGGAAAUAAAGAUUGGCCCCAGAGCAGGAAACUGUCCCAGCGUGGCAGAGCCACAUGGGACAUGCCAGCACUGCACGGGUGCGGCCAACAGUGCCAGGGAAUCGAGGAGCACAGGCAGCGGGCACCAGCAUGCGACCAGAAGGUCCCCGCACUCACAGUGUGAUCGAGACAAUGGAGAGGACCAGACGCCCACCCACUCCACGUGGCAGUCGCCUGCAAGCCCCUUCAUAACUCAGCCGCAGCACGGGGGGACAUUGUGGGGGACCCCAGGCUCGAGCCACUCACAAGAUGGGACACAAAACAGAGAUCAAGUUGUUUAGUAGAAAAAUUAGGUUCCACAUCUGCUCCCUCUCAGUCGGUGGACUAAGAUUUGCGCGCACGCGGCAGAUCACAGAGCUGAGACACCAGCUGGGGGCGAAGGGAUGCACGUGUUCAGGAGAUGGACGGAUGGGACCCCGUGAUCUGGGAGGGGUGAGUCAGGACAGGGAGAGUCCCGGCGUGGUGGAUGACAGUGUUCUGGCCUCCUGAGAAGGGACAGUACUUUGGACCGGGAAUAAUUCAUAAAACUUUUCCCUGGCCUGAGGAAAUACUCUGAAGAGCGAUGGAUUCCAUUUGCAGCCUCACUAAGCAACCUUCCAACAGCUCAUGUGGUUUCCCAGGUAACCUGGAGGGCAUUCUGGCUUGUUGCUAUCCAUCUUUGAGAGUCUGAUUAGGGAGGUCUUGAGAGCCAGGUCCAGUUCUGGUUGCAUCUGCACUUUCAGAAUCUGAGAGCCAAGGUCCAAACCUUGACGGUUCUGCCAGUUCAGGAUUUCGGGACGCUUUUCUGAAGCUGCUUCAUUAUCACUCUGAUGAGGAGCAGAGUAACUAUUGUCACCUGGCAGGACCAUGUGGAAAGGGGGUGAAGGAGUGAGCACAUGGGAACCACCGGGAGUGACUUCCUGCGGAGGGUCACUGCUCAGAGCCACCGUCCUAAGCCAGGUCCUUGGAGCCUAAGAUUUUCACUUUUAGGAAUCAGUCCUAGGGGAAUGAUCUGAGCCUGAGCAAACAGCAUGUUCCCAUUCAUCAAAGUGUUGUUUAUCAUCCUGGAGAAUGUCUUCCACUUGCUCCAUGCAGCACCCCACAUGUCGACCCUACAUUCUCCGACAAAUGGACCCCAAGAGCUUGUAUGGAGGUUCCACCAGGGGGCUCAGCUACUCGGACACCCUGGACCAAAGAAUCGUCCUCCUCUAUCACGGUAGGCCAAUCUCACUUCAGAACAAUUGAACUUCGAUAGUAGAAAAUCUUAUCCAAUAGUAUAGUGCAGCAUAACUCGGAGAGGCUCAAACAAAUGCCGUGGGGGCUCAGUACGAGGAAGCGUACGCCUGCGGAGCAGGGGCUCUCUGUGUUCGGAACAGAUAGGCUUGCUGCCCAGGCUGCGCCCUCUAGCUCUGCUGACACCUGGAUUUGUCCUCGCCCACUCUCUUUCUCCAAGAAGUUGGGGCUGCAGCUUUCUUGGCCAGGUACGUCCCCUGGAGUAAGCCAAGCUGCUGAGAGCUGUUGAUAGGUCCCAGGCUUUGGUCCCUGGGAAAGGAAACCAAAACAGAGUUGGAGAUGGAAAAAGAGGAAAGAAAGCAUCUUAGAUAUUAAGAGAAUGGGUGGCGUUCUUUCUGUGCCCAGCAGCAGCAGCAGCAGCAGCAGCAGCAGCAGUAGUAGUAGUAGUAAUAAAGGACGGGGUGAGAACCAGAUCUAAGAAAAGAUGUUCAGGUGAACAUAGGUAUACAGAGCCUGAGGAAAGGGAGCAGCUUCUGACAGGUGUGGAGGUGGGUGCCCAGAGCAGCAGUUCAGGCAGCUCCUCAGGGAGACAUGAUGGUGAGAGCAGAGCUUGAUAAACAUUGCAAUUAUGAAAGCAUCUUACUGAGAAAGUAUAACAUCUGGGGGUAUAGCUCAGGGGUAGAGCAUUUGACUGCAGAUCAAGAGGUCCCUGGUUCAAAUCCAGGUGCCCCCUUUGGAAGCCCUCUUUUCCUCCCAGAGAUGAUACUUAGUCCCAUUAGAGGAGGUGGCUCGCGGACCCCAUGAAACAGCUCCCUUAUGGCCAUCCCUUCUGAUUCAGGUUGCGGUCAGGCACCACUUAGCAUUGCCCUGAAGACCAAGGACAACACCAAAUGCAUCUGCAAUAGCCUCUUUGAGAGUCUGUUUCCAGGGACCCCUAUGGGACCAAUUUCAGUAUCCCAUAGGGUCCAGUCCAGAGACAAAAACUGCACCUAACAGAGAACGUAACCUGAAAAAUUGUUAACCAGCGCAUCAGUUUCCUAGAGCUUCUGUAGCAAAGUACCACAAAGUGUGUGAUAUAAACAACAGACAGUUACUAUCUUACAGUUUGGAGGCCAGAGUCUGCAAUCGGGGUGUCAGCAGGGCCAAGCUCUCUGACAGCUCCAAAGGAGGGUCCUUCCUCACCGCCUUCCAGCUCUGCCGUGUGGACGUCCAGGUACUCCUUGUCUCGUAGACAUGUCGCUCCGUCUGCCUUUCUACACGUGGCAUCUUCUCCCUGUGUCUGUCCUCCUUCUAUGAGGACACGGGUCGUAUUGGGUCAGGGGGCUACCUUCCCCGUGGUCACCUCAUCUUCACUAAUUCCAUCUCUCACGACCCUCUCCAAAUAAGGACACAUUCCUGGACACUGGGGCUAGGACUUCAACAUAGCUUUUUGGGGACACAAUUCAACCACAAUGACCAGGAAUUAGAACUGAAGGGCGGCAAGGGAAGACUAAGUCUCAGGGAGGAAGUUUCUGUAGAAGCAGCCACCACUCCAGGGCUGGGGGACAAACACAAGAGGACAAAUGUGGCAAAACUUACAAGAGUGUGUCUGUGCAUCGGUGACGUGGACCACUAAGGAGGUGUCCCUAAAGAGUUAUGACGAUGCCGGGCCUGUGAGCGCCCAACUGAGGGUGGCAGGCGCCAUUGCCACUGGAAUGCACUGUGCCAGGUGACACUGACAGGAACCCAGAGCAGGCAGGGAGGAGCACGUGCUUCUUCCUGCUCCAGGCUUCCACAUCCCUCCGGAGCCCUACUGGCAGGACCGACCAGGAAGCCACCUGGCAAAGAAGGAGGGCGGUGUGCCGAGUCCCCACCCAGCAUCCCAGAGCACACACGGGAGGGUGGAGUCGCAGGCCAGAGACCAUCACUUCUUCAGUCGUCUCUUCAGACGGCUCGUCUCACCAGCAGUUAGAGGGCUGACGGUGUGGGGAUCCCGGGCCCAGAGGAGGGGUCAGCCUGCGCCCCAGGGUGCGGCACUGUGCAGGGAGCUCCCUUCCGUUUCGGGUCAGUGUGUCUUCUAGCUUUGCGGCGCUGUGUGCCUAGCCAGGCCCUAGGGUGUUUUCAGGUGCUCAGCAUGAAACCCACAAGGUAGACGUGGUCCUUCCAGCUGCAAGGGAUGCUCCCCAUUCACUGCCCCCCUCGGGGACUGAUGGUGCAGAAUGGAGCUGGGGGAGGAGGGAACCUCCUGCUUCUAGUGCCGGGAGCUGAGUUCGCAGUAGAGCAGGUCUGGCAGCUCCGCCGGCCUACGUGAAGGGGCAUCUGGGCAGAAGCCCUGGGUGUGGCUGCACAGGGAGGACGUUUACUGGACCUCACUGGUGCCGCUGGGGGUAUAGCUCAGGGGCAGAGCAUUUGACUGCAGAUCAAGAGGUCCCCAGUUCGAAUCUGGGUGCCCCCUAGCAUUUUAGUCACUCAAGGUGGUGAAGGAGUUCUCACGUCCUCUCCUCUUGCUGCAUCCGGUCUCCGCAUCUUCCUGCAAAGGGUGAAGAAGCAGAGGAGACCCUUUCCGCCUAGGCCAGGGCCACUCUGCUCUGUCCUUCCCACUCUCCCCUCCGCCCUGUCCCCGCUCUCCACUGUGAACUUGAUCUCCUGGCCGCGGGUGAGGACUGUCUUCUGAAGGUCGCCAGAGAAAGAAGGCUGAGAUCACCUACACAGGAACAGUGGUCGGACCGCUGGCCGACUCUCAACAGCCGUAAGGAAGCCGAAGACAGUGCAACGACACGUGACGGUCAGCCCUGAUCUUGUCCCAGCCAAACUGUUCACGGAAAGACGAAAGCUGAGUUUACUCCUAAGAGACCCUCACCGGAGAAAAUUAUAAAUACAUACUUUAGAGAAAAGAAAAACGAUUCCAGGUGUGAGGUCUGAGAUACAAGAAGAAAAACUGAACGAAGAAAUUGUAAGAUAUGGAAGCCAAUCUAAAAUUAUCGGCCAUGCAAUAUAAUAUUAAUGUCUAAUUUAUUAAGUUAUUUAAAAGACAAUGAAAAUACUGGUUCACGAUCACAUAUGAGGAGUGGGGUGAUCGCAGUAACGUGUUUGUGUAAGUUGGGAAGAGGAUCAAGAUAUUGACUAACUUAGACUUAAAAUUUGCAUGUAGCAAUUCCUAGGGCAUCACUUUAAAGGUUGUGGUUUUGCCGGGCUGAAGGCGGUCAGGGAAUGUGGGCUCCAUGCUAGUCGUCUUGGCAGACAGGCAUCAGUGUUAGUAAUUUAUUUGCUGAUUCUUUUAGAUUCCCUAUGUAUAUGAUCACAUCUAAAAAACGUAAACGUUUUAUUUCCUCCUCUCUAAUCCUUAUAUCUUUUAUUUCUUUCUUUUUCACCUUAUUGUACUGGCCAGGACCUCCAGUAUAAUGCUGAAUAAAGGUGUUGACAGGAGCUGUCUUGUCUCAUUCUGAUUUUAAAUGAAAAGCUUUCAACAUUUCACCAUUGAGUACAUGUUGUGGACUAUACUUUUUGAAAAUGGUCUAUAUUAAAUCAAGAAAUUUUUCUUCUAGUUCACAAAAAAUUAUGGAUAGAUGUGGAAAUUUAUCAAAACUCCUUUUUUUGCAUUUAUUGAGAAAAUCACGAUCUUUCUCCUUUAGAUUAUUAACAUGGUGAAUUACAUUUAUUGCUUUUUGUAAAAUGGAACACAUUUUGCAUUCCAUAUGUAAAUCCAACUUGGUCAGGAAGUUAUAUCAUUUUCACAUAUUGUUUAUAUUGUAGAUUCAGUUAGGUUAUCAUUUAUUUAAUUUUGUACCUGUGUUAUGAGUGAGAUUGGCCUGUACAUUUUUUAUAUUGUUCUUGCUGGGUUUUGGUGUGAAGGUUGCACUUUAGAUGUGCCUUUUGUAAAUAGAAUACAGUUGGUUGGUUGUCUUAACCCAAUAUGACAAUCCGUCUUUUCAUCUGGGGCAUUUCAUUUAUUUACUUUCAAUGUAAUUGCUGAUAUAUUUGUAUUCAAAUUGUCACCUUAUUUUGUUUUCAAUUUAUAUCGCUUGUUUUCCUCUCCUCGUUAAUUUUUAUUCGAGAUUUUUAUCAUGCCAUGAUUUCCCCCUGCUGAUUUAAAAAACAUAAAUGCUAUUUUUUUUUAUUUUAGGGGUUAUACUAAAUACUCCCUGUAUGUAGUUAUUUCUCAAAGCCUGUUGGUUAACCAAUAACUUCACCCUCCUCCCGGGCAGCACAAGCCUCUUAGAACACUUAGAACACUGUAACUCCAUUUCUCUCCCAACUUAUCGUGAGUGGUCCUUAUUAAUUUAAUAUCCAGUUGUACUCCUCCAACAGCCUUUGUUACAUCGCAGUGAAAUUCACUCUAGGCCCCUAACUUGUGGUGUUAAUGUGUCUUCCAAGCCACUGUGUGUGAGGAGGGCUCACGGACCUACUUGGUGGCUCUUGGAGUUUCUCCAGGGCUCUCCCUUCCCCUGCUGCAGUGAGCGUGACAUGUUCGUUCCAUAUGUCCACUGUGCUGGGGCCGGUAGCUGGUUCUCCUAAAGCUGCUCCUGUGUCUUCAAAGUUGGGCGCAUGUUUUUUUCUUGAGUGAUUACAGUUUUCAGCCUAAUUAAGUUUCCGGGUUUACAAUGUCUCUUACUUGACGGUCACAUGAUAUCCCCAAGGGACCAGAAAGGCGCGAGCCUCAGGGACAUCACCUCGUGUUACACACCUGGGGUGGAAAUGGCAGCUCGGUCUCUGGAUGUCUCUUCCUUGCUUUCAGAGGAAAUCAUGAACAGGCAUGGAUGCGGCUACUUUUAUAAGAUUCUGCUUAGCUUCCUACACCAUCGCACCAGGUCAGCCCCUCUGUUCUCCUCGGGUAAAGAAGAUAUUUCCCUACAUAGCCUCAGAAGAAUCUCGCCUCAAGCUUUAUUUAGGUCAUCCCGAACCAACUUUCAACAUCUUUAUUUUCUGGCUGACUUCAGAAAGUCAUAACCCACAAGGAAGUCAGCUACAAUGGAGUUUUGCAUUUUAGAGUGAGAAAGACCUGAGUUUGGAUAUCGUCGCUAACUUCUGCCAUCUCUGUGACACCAGGCAAGUCAUUUGGACCCUUGGAACGUCAGUUUCCAUAUCUGAAACAUUAGUGUGUAUAAGAAUGGCUAUACAGAGUUGUAUAAAACCAUGUAUACUGAGCUACAGGAGCAAGUUAAGAGAUGUUCGAGGUCAUUUUGUCUCUAUAUGAUUUUUGCCCAAUAUGCUCUGUUUUAUGCCGAAUCGUCUGUAGAUCAGGCCAGGAGAAUAAAUAAGACUUGAGAGAAGAGAGCCAAGGAGACUUCCGGGUAGGAAGAAAAAGGUGCCUGUCAGCAUACUAGACAGUCCGAGGCCAAGGGACAUGGGGACAAAGCAUAGAAAAACAACAAAAGUCAAUGGGGAAAGACAAAAAGAGUAAGUAAAUGUAUCAAUCUCAGAAUUUCAGUGGCCAUCAGUGGUAAAAACAAGAUAAUUCUGACCCAGUUACAGCAUAUAAAUAUAAAAAUAUUUAAAUAAUUUAAAAUAGCAUCCAUAACGUCAGCCUAGGUGGAUAAUAAUCACUUGGAAAGUUUCAUCUACAAUCACAGUAAUGGGACCACUACACAGUGGCCAGGUCUUCCGGUAUGCCUAGAUGAGAACCACGAGCAUGGGUCUUGGUGCAGUGACUUUUGGCUUCAGGCUCAGUGUUUAGCCAAAUCCUGUUGUUCAGAUGUUGGCUUCAGCCUUGGCCAUUGCAAAGUGGAAUAGUGAAUGUUCACUUAGUGUCAUUUCUGGCAUCUUAGACUUGUACGUAAGUGACAACUGUGCGGUCGGGUAAAUUUCCAUCAGGAUCUCGUCAGGGCACCAGUCUUCAGUAACAGAAACGUGGCAUGUCAUUCGUAGCUGUUGUUGAUGUCUGAAUAGCUGCUUCCAAAUUGAGGUGUUCUCAAUUCUAGAUGUAACUUGAGGUGCAAACUUUGAUGAUGCACUUUAUAUGUUGAAAUGCUAACAGUCAGUUGAAGUAUGUAAUUGUAUUUUUAACAUUGCAAAAGUAAAAUGCUACAGUGAUUAUUGAGAAUUAUGAAAGGUGUUGAUUCUGUGUAAUAAAUGAGAACUUUCACUGUUAAAUAUAUGAUAAUUCUGAUUACUAUCGAAUUAUUUGGUGUAAUCACGUUCAUAACACUAAAAUAGUCUUUAGAAACUAAUGUUUAAUUAUUUAAUUCCAUUUAGUCUGUGAAUCUUAAAAAGGAAAAGCCGUAUAUGGUUAUUUUUCACAUUACUAGGAGGAUAAAUAAAAGAAUGGCCAUGUGGCUACCUCAGAAAUUCACAAGGACAGAAAAUACUCAUGUACAACACAUAUACGAAAAAUCAUAUUUGAUUGAGACAUGAUUAAAAAUAUAAAGAGAGCAUGAAAAAAUUGAAAGUUUACAUAAAAAUGAGACACUCAAAAUACAUUUGUUCUCUAAACCACAAACUUUACAAGAAUGCUUUUAAUAAGACUAUGCCUCAUGGUUUGGGAUCUGUGCAGUCUAAUACUUUUUAAAGCUUGUAGAAAUAAUUGCUAUAGACUGAUAACCAUUUUCAGCAGUUGAAGAAAAAGAACUUUUGAGAUUUGCCAAAGCUACAAAUUCUAAAUAUUGAUUUCUUUCAGAAAAUAUUCUUAAAAUAUUUUUUCUGAUUUAUAUUUUGCUGUGUAUAAAAAGUUUAACGAAAUUAUUAAAUACACUACUGUAUAUGGUACAUGUGACAUUUGAACAUGAUGAAUCAAUGUUAAUUUUUUAAAUUCGAUAGCGUAGAAGAUUAAAGAUUAAUUCAACCAUG